GUUACCUAUUUACAAGGAAAACUACUCUUCCCUAUCGAAACCAAGCCCCACCUUGGAUUCACCAAAACUACACUAUAAGAGGCCCCGAACGACUAGAAUAAACGCUCAUAACCGUUUCGACCUCGAUAUAGGUGCAGCUUCUUUCUAAACCCCAUCAAGAGCCAGUAGUGUAGUGCAUUAUUUUAAGUCUAAGGACGUGAAUAGUCAUGCAACACCUAUCUCGUUGGCGAUUCCGAUCAGAAGUCCCCGUGACACCGGCACCGUCCAAAUGUGUUCACACUGGCAGGCAAUCCCGGUCCAGGCUUGCUUCUCCCGCUGUAUCAAAACAAAGCGAGACGGAACUAUGGAACUGGUACGAUGUGGUCAGAGUGCGCAAUCUUUCGUUCUAGCGUCGUCGACAACUAUCACACAAUGCAAAGAAUAAAAAGCUCACAAUUGCGUUGACCUUUUCUACAUUCGGAAAAGUACAAAGGCGAACGUCGAAUCUCGGUCUAAGACACUCGAGUGCCGAGGUUCAUUUAGUAUUUCAUCGGUCCUGCCUGUGGCACGAUGCUCGCGCGGCUAAUGUGAACACUGUUAGCCUAGCACGAUGCAAGCACGACCCUGGCAUAUAAGUGUGUUUCGACCCUUCAGGUGGCCGAGUUUCAGCAUCUGUUUCUUUGGUUUGAGUGGCGUUUACAUGCUACGGAUUAAAUACCUGUUCCACGAAGAUGAAGUAAGUCUGAAACAAAGUGGUAUGUAUCACCGAUCUGGACGAAGUUCGAUAAAACGAAAAUUUCUACGUAAUUAUAUUACAGAGUUUUACAUAUUUUUGUACAUUUGUAAGCAUUACUCAUAUGUAAUCUAUGCAAUCAUUUUUUUUUAUAUGUAGCUGUUUCAAAAAAUGGAUUUCGUUAAAGCAAUUAUGUAUACCGAAAAUUGUUCCAAAGAAUUACAUUCGAAUCUCAUUCUCUUCAAAGCAUUGCCCAGUUAAAGCAGCAAGCUAUCGUGUGACGUAAUCACGCGGACGCGUGAAAUUAGAUGCUGAAUAUUUAAGCAGCGAAUUACACGUGGAUGAUUAUUCUUUGAUAUUCCACAUGACCGAAGAACUGGUUCUGUCAAGUGCAAUUUGUACGUCGCCGCGCCAAAGGCACUUCUAAGCAGUUCGGGGGAAGCGUUUACAUUGUCCGGAGACCAUUUUUGUUUCGCGAAUCGAUUUUAUAGAUUGUUUGGCAGGAGUGCGAAGCGUCCACAUUGAAAUCACGAAAAAUGUCUCGUCGAAAAUGUUUCUGUUUCGUUCGCUAGCGUGCCAAGCACACUCGUGCAUGAUGUUUGCGCGCAUGGACACACGAUUAUGAAAUGGUGAUCGUUCUUUUUCCAAAAUGCGGGAAGCUGUAAUUGCUUUCUCACUGUGUAAUUUCGUUCCAUCCGAUUGCGACGAAGUAUGCGUUGAUUGCUCGAACGAAAAAGCAACGACUUGGAAUUAAAUGUCGCAGGGAUGGUACGCGCACAAGAAAUUCACAAUCUGCAGCACAUUUUCAUCAAUAUCUGCGAAUACGAAGCGAAGGAAGCGAUUUCAUGUAAGUUGUUUAAUAAACAUAUAAAUUAUACAGUC